rnacentral:tRNA from 1 species
GUGGGUAUAGCUCAGUGGUAGAGAGCAUGCUUAGCGUGCAUGAAGUCCUGGGUUCAAUUCCCAGUACCUCCA